UACCCCCUAUGAUGACGGUACCGUUUGUAAGCUCCGGCUAACUCCGUGCCAGCAGCCGCGGUAAUACGGGGGGAGCAAGCGUUGUUCGGAUUUACUGGGCGUAAAGGGCGCGUAGGCGGCCAGCACAAGUCAGUUGUGAAAUCUCCGAGCUUAACUCGGAAAGGUCAACUGAUACUGUGCGGCUANAGUGCGGAAGGGGCAACUGGAAUUCUUGGUGUAGCGGNGAAAUGCGUAGAUAUCNNGAGGAACACCUGCGGCGAAGGCGGGUUGCUGGGNCGACACUGACGCUGANGCGCGAAAGCUAGGGGAGCGAACGGNAUUAGAUACCCCGGUAGUCCUAGCCUUNAACNAUGAAUGCUUGGUGUCUGGGGUUAUAAAGUCCCCGGGUGCCGUCNCUAACGCUUUAANCAUUCCGCCUGGGGAGUACGGUCGCAAGACUGAAACUCAAAGGAAUUGACGGA
rnacentral:rRNA from 1 species